UACGUCGGGAGCAAGCGUUGUCCGGAAUCAUUGGGCGUAAAGCGCGCGUAGGUGGCCAUUUAAGUCCGCUGUGAAAGUCAAAGGCUCAACCUUUGAAAGCCGGUGGAUACUGGAUGGCUAGAGUACGGAAGAGGCGAGUGGAAUUCCUGGUGUAGCGGUGGAAUGCGCAGAUAUCAGGAGGAACACCAAUAGCGAAGGCAGCUCGCUGGGACGUUACUGACACUGAGGCGCGAAAGCGUGGGGAGCGAACAGG
rnacentral:rRNA from 1 species